CAUAAUCUACCAGUAAUGAGGUUUUAAGAUUUCCUUGGGCGUCUCGAGUAUAUUUACCUAAAGUGGGGACUGCACUGAUACCAAAUUUCACUCGAAAUUCAUUGUGUGGUGUUUUCCAUUGAGGCAUGUUGCCAACAUAGACAUGGACAACAUUGAGCUUUUUAGAGCUAUUAAAGGCAUUGUUAAAGAGAGGCAAAGCCGCACGAACCGUUGGACACCAAGGCUGUUUAGUACGAGGAUCAACAGAAGCAAGAUAAGCAACGAAAAGUGUCUCAUUUUUAGCAACGUUAGCUAAAGUAGAUUCCAGUGAUUCUUUCAAUGGUAACAACAUUUUGGUGGUCAGACGUUUGGAUAAAUACAAAUAUUUUAAUGAAUAUUGAAUACA